rnacentral:tRNA from 1 species
ACUUUUGUAAUUUAUAGAGAAUAUUACAUUGAAGAUGUGAAAGGGGUUGUUGAACUCAAGAGUG